rnacentral:rRNA from 1 species
GGAUUCCCCUAGUAACGGCGAGUGAAGCGGGAAGAGCUCAAAUUUGAAAUCUGGCAGUCUUCGAUUGUCCGAGUUGUAAUCUAUAGAGGCGUUUUCCGUGCCGGACCGUGUCCAAGUCUCCUGGAAAGGAGUAUCAAAGAGGGUGAUAAUCCCGUACUUAACACGACCACCGGUGCUCUGUGAUACGUCUUCUACGAGUCGAGUUGUUUGGGAAUGCAGCUCAAAAUGGGUGGUGAAUUCCAUCUAAAGCUAAAUAUUGGCGAGAGACCGAUAGCGAACAAGUACCGUGAGGGAAAGAUGAAAAGCACUUUGGAAAGAGAGUUAAACAGUACGUGAAAUUGUUGAAAGGGAAACGAUUGAAGUCAGUCGUGUUCUUUGGAUUCAGCCAGUUCUGCUGGUCUACUUCCUUGGAACGGGUCAACAUCAGUUUUGUCCGGUGGAUAAAGGUAGUAGGAAUGUGACUUCUCCGGAAGUGUUAUAGCCUAUUAUCACAUACACUGGGUGAGACUGAGGACUGCAGCUCGCCUUUAUGGCCGGCCUUCGGGCACGUUCGAGCUUAGGAUGUUGACAUAAUGGCUUUAAACGACCCGUCUUGAAA